CUCGAUCCAGACUCUCGCCUCCUCUUCCUGCUCAUCGCUGUAUUUGCCAGCGAUCUGGAAAAAUAAAUGGCUCCACACUAAAUUUCUUUGAAAAGGAUAUUUUUGGAGUUGAAUUCAUCAAGCCAUUUGUUCCUGACCUGAGAGGUUAACUUGGGUAGUGCAACAUUUGUUCGAAGUCUAUUUUAGAAUCUAACGACUAAGGAUGUGGCUUACUUUGCGAGCUGCUUCGGCAGACAUGCCAUAUCCACGAGGUCUGCUGGCCAUGUUGAAUAGAAAAAACUCGUGUA